rnacentral:rRNA from 1 species
CCUACGGGUGGCAGCAGUAGGGAAUCUUCCACAAUGGGCGAAAGCCUGAUGGAGCAACGCCGCGGGGGUGAAGAAGGUCUUCGGAUCGUAAAACCCGGUUGUUAGAGAAGAAAGUGCGGGAGAGUAACUGUUCACGUGUCGACGGUAUCGAACCAGAAAGCCACGGCUAACUACGUGCCAGCAGCCGCGGUAAUACGUAGGUGGCAAGCGUUAUCCGGAUUUAUUGGGCGUAAAGGGACCGCAGGCGGUCUUUUAAGUCUGAUGUGAAAGCCUUCGGCUUAACCGGGGUAGUGCAUUGGAAACUGGGAGCCUUGAGUGCAGGAGAGGCGAGUGGAACUCCAUGUGUAGCGGUGACAUGCGUAGAUAUAU